rnacentral:rRNA from 1 species
GACGAACGCUGGCGGCGUGCCUAAUACAUGCAAGUAGAACGCUGAAGAGAGGAGCUUGCUCUUCUUGGAUGAGUUGCGAACGGGUGAGUAACGCGUAGGUAACCUGCCUUGUAGCGGGUGAUAACUAUUGGAAACGAUAGCUAAUACCGCAUAACAAUGGAUGACACAUGUCAUUUAUUUGAAAGGGGCAAUUGCUCCACUACAAGAUGGACCUGCGUUGUAUUAGCUAGUAGGUGAGGUAAUGGCUCACCUAGGCGACGAUACAUAGCCGACCUGAGAGGGUGAUCGGCCACACUGGGACUGAGACACGGCCCAGACUCCUACGGGAGGCAGCAGUAGGGAAUCUUCGGCAAUGGGGGCAACCCUGACCGAGCAACGCCGCGUGAGUGAAGAAGGUUUUCGGAUCGUAAAGCUCUGUUGUAAGUCAAGAACGGGUGUGAGAGUGGAAAGUUCACACUGUGACGGUAGCUUACCAGAAAGGGACGGCUAACUACGUG